UGGGGAAUUUUGGACAAUGGGCGAAAGCCUGAUCCAGCAAUGCCGCGUGUGUGAAGAAGGCCUUCGGGUUGUAAAGCACUUUUUGUCCGGAAAGAAAUCCUUGGCUCUAAUACAGUCGGGGGAUGACGGUACCGGAAGAAUAAGCACCGGCUAACUACGUGCCAGCAGCCGCGGUAAUACGUAGGGUGCAAGCGUUAAUCGGAAUUACUGGCGUAAAGCGUGCGCAGGCGGUUUGCUAAGACCGAUGUGAAAUCCCCGGGCUCAACCUGGGAACUGCAUUGGUGACUGGCAGGCUAGAGUAUGGCAGAGGGGGGUAGAAUUCCACGUGUAGCAGUGAAAUGCGUAGAGAUGUGGAGGAAUACCGAUGGCGAAGGCAGCCCCCUGGGCCAAUACUGACGCUCAUGCACGAAAGCGUGGGGAGCAAACAGGAUUAGAUACCCUGGUAGUCCACGCCCUAAACGAUGUCAACUAGUUGUUGGGGAUUCAUUUCCUUAGUAACGUAGCUAACGCGUGAAGUUGACCGCCUGGGGAGUACGGUCGCAAGAUUAAAACUCAAAUGAAUUGACGGGGUCAUAGCUGUUUCCU
rnacentral:rRNA from 1 species